CAGUAGCGCGGUAAUGCGUAGGUGGCAAGCGUUGUCCGGAAUUAUUGGGGGUAAAGGGCUCGCAGGCGGUUGCUUAAGUCUGAUGUGAAGGCCCCCGGCUCAACCGGGGAGGGUCAUUGGAAACUGGGAAACUUGAGUGCAGAAGAGGAGAGUGGAAUUCCACGUGUAGCGGUGAAAUGCGUAGAGAUGUGGAGGAACACCAGUGGCGAAGGCGACUCUCUGGUCUGUAACUGACGCUGAGGAGCGAAAGCGUGGGGGGCGAACAGGAUUAGAUACCCGCGUAGUCCCUGUCUCUUAUACA
rnacentral:rRNA from 1 species